rnacentral:rRNA from 1 species
GAUGAACGCUGGCGGCGUGCCUAACACAUGCAAGUCGAGCGGGAUUCAUGAGGACGAAACUUCGGUCUAGAAAUCAUGAUGAGAGCGGCGGACGGGUGAGUAACGCGUAGGCAACCUGCCCUUAGCACAGGGAUAGCCUCGGGAAACCGGGAUUAAAACCUGAUAAUGCCAAACAGCCACAUGGCUGUUUGGCCAAAGAUUUAUCGGCUAAGGAUGGGCCUGCGUCUGAUUAGUUAGUUGGUGGGGUAACGGCCUACCAAGACGACGAUCAGUAGCCGACCGGAGAGGAUGAUCGGCCACAUUGGAACUGAGACACGGUCCAAACUCCUACGGGAGGCAGCAGUGGGGAAUAUUGCACAAUGGGCGAAAGCCUGAUGCAGCAACGCCGCGUGAGCGAUGAAGGCCUUUGGGUCGUAAAGCUCUGUCCUAGGGGACGAACACAAUGACGGUACCCUUGGAGGAAGCCCCGGCUAACUACGUGCCAGCCGCCGCCGUAAGAC